CUGCAUUUACAUCUUGGCAUGAACUAUCAAGUACAUGGCUAUAAUUUUGCAUGUUUAUACUAACAUGUCUGGGUUACAUAAAAUUACAUAUUAUCUUUCCAAAAACUUGCUCAGAACUGUUUUUCUCAUGGGAUUUUCCUCAUCAUCAUCAUCUUCAUCUUCAUCUGACUUCAAACGUGCAUUUAAAGCACAGCGAAUCACUGAAUUGACUUGCAUUCUCAAUCUGGCAUUAUCAACGAAUACUUCUGUAAGCAACUUCCUCAACUCAUCAUCAACUCUAUCACUGCCAUUUGUAUUGCAAGUUUCGUCCAAUCUUG
rnacentral:misc_RNA from 1 species